rnacentral:tRNA from 1 species
GGGGUGUAGCUCAGUUGGUUAGAGCGCUGGCCUGUCACGCCAGAGGUCGCGGGUUCGAGUCCCGUCACUCC